rnacentral:snRNA from 1 species
GUGCUUGCUUUGUCAGCACAUAUACUAAAAUUGUAACCAUGCAGAGAUUAGCAUGGCCCCUGUGCAAGGAUGACAUGCAAAUUUGUAAAGUGUUCCAUAUUUUU